rnacentral:rRNA from 1 species
AUUCCCCUAGUAACGGCGAGUGAAGCGGGAUGAGCUCACCAUGUGAAUCUGCGCAACCAGCAAUGGUGCGCCGAAUUGUGGUCUGAAGAAGUAUCGUCGACCGCGAACCCGGGCCAAGUCUCUUGGAAAAGGGCAGCUGAGAGGGUGAAACUCCCGUUCUUGCCUGGGUACGUUGUGUUAUAGCAUGAUCUUUCUAUGAGUCGAGUUGCUUGGGAUUGCAGCUCAAAUUUGGUGGUAAAUUCCAUCUAAAGCUAAAUAUUGGUGGGACACCGAUAGUGUACAAGUACCGUGAGGGAAAGAUGCAAAGAACUUAGAAAAGAGAGUUAAAGAGUACCUGAAAUUGUUAAAAGGGAAGCGAAGGAAUCCAGUGUAAAGCAAAGCCAUUCUUCUCAAGCCACUUGUGGUUUGGGCGCUGUGGUUAGCUGUACUAAUUCUGGGCUUGACCUGGGACAAACGUUUAGUAAGUAGACGACUCCUCGGAGUGAGUGCUUGCUCUUCAUGUUCUGGGUCGGGCUGAGGUCAGUCACUCUGUGCUCGUGAUGAAUUA